GCGCAAUAAAGUCACGAGGCAAGUAUCCUCACCAGGUGGAACGUUCAAAUCGAUAGCACGCCGGUUCGAACAUAUACACUUGGACAUUAUCGUGAUGCAAUACUCGCACCGAUAUUGUCUAACGUGCAUCGAACGUUUUUCGCGUUAUCCUGAAGCCGUUCCCAUUGCCGAUAUGGAAGCCCCCACCGUGGCCUCGGCCCUCCUUUCGACUUGGAUUUUUCGUUACGGCGGCCCC